UUCGAGCGUCAUUACAACCCUCACGCUCAGCGUGGUGUUGGGCUCGCCCUCCUGGGCCUGCCUCAAAAUCAGUGGCGGCACCGUGUGACCCCUAAGCGUAGUAAUACUCGUCGCUUCCGGUGGUUGUGCGGCGGCCUGCCAGCGAAUCCCCACUUUUAAAGGUUGACCUCGGAUCAGGUAGGGAUACCCGCUGAACUUAA
rnacentral:misc_RNA from 1 species